AGCGAACGCUGGCGGCAGGCCUAACACAUGCAAGUCGAGCGCCCAGCAAUGGGAGCGGCAGACGGGAUAGUAACACGUGGGAACGUACCUUUCAGUUCGGAACAACCAAGGGAAACUUUGGCUAAUACCGAAUACGCCCGUAAGGGGAAAGAUUUAUCGCUGAAAGAUCGGCCCGCGUCUGAUUAGCUAGUUGGUGAGGUAAUGGCUCACCAAGGCGACGAUCAGUAGCUGGUCUGAGAGGAUGAUCAGCAUCACUGGGACUGAGACACGGCCCAGACUCCUACGGGAGGCAGCAGUGGGGAAUAUUGGACAAUGGGCGCAAGCCUGAUCCAGCCAUGCCGCGUGAGUGAUGAAGGCCUUAGGGUUGUAAAGCUCUUUCGUCAGGGAGAUAAUGACGGUACCUGAAGAAGAAGCCCCGGCUAACUUCGUGCCAGCAGCCGCGGUAAU
rnacentral:rRNA from 1 species